GGAAAAUUGACAGUUACUGGUCUGGGUGCCUUUUGUGCUCUCAGAGGUGAGCUUAGUUCAUUCCACAAUGAUCUGGUCUGACCUCAGCCCUCUCUUAUGCCGGAUACCAAACGGCCUAGGGGCAAAGUGCCGGUUCAUAUGGGACCGCCGCUGCUCUCUGGAAGAAGCCACCUGCUAUGUGCUGAAGCAGCCUUGUGGAGAGACCCGUGUGGUUGGGACAGAGACUGCCGACAACCGUGCGAGUGAACUUAGAAGCUGAUCCAACCCUCCAGUCCUAGGUGAGCCUUCAUAUGAGAAGGCAGCCCUGUCUGACACCUUGACCGCAAUUUCAUGGGAGACUUUGAAUCAGAGAAACUCAACUACACUGUGCCCAGAUUCCUG
ensembl:lncRNA